AACGAACGCUGGCGGCAUGCCUAACACAUGCAAGUCGAACGAGACCUUCGGGUCUAGUGGCGCACGGGUGCGUAACGCGUGGGAACCUGCCCUUAGGUUCGGAAUAACUCCCCGAAAGGGGUGCUAAUACCGGAUAAUGUCUUCGGACCAAAGAUUUAUCGCCUUUGGAUGGGCCCGCGUUGGAUUAGCUAGUUGGUAGGGUAAAAGCCUACCAAGGCGACGAUCCAUAGCUGGUCUGAGAGGAUGAUCAGCCACACUGGGACUGAGACACGGCCCAGACUCCUACGGGAGGCAGCAGUGGGGAAUAUUGGACAAUGGGCGAAAGCCUGAUCCAGCAAUGCCGCGUGAGUGAUGAAGGCCUUAGGGUUGUAAAGCUCUUUUACUCGGGAUGAUAAUGACAGUACCGGGAGAAUAAGCUCCGGCUAACUCCGUG
rnacentral:rRNA from 1 species